rnacentral:rRNA from 1 species
UACGUAGGGGGCAAGCGUUGUCCGGAUUUAUUGGGCGUAAAGAGCGUGUAGGCGGCCAAACAGGUCAGCUGUGAAAACUCGAGGCUCAACCUCGAGACGUCGGUUGAAACCGUUUGGCUAGAGUCCGGAAGAGGAGAGUGGAAUUCCCGGUGUAGCGGUGAAAUGCGCAGAUAUCGGGAAGAACACCCGUGGCGAAGGCGGCUCUCUGGGACGGUACUGACGCUGAGGAGCGAAAGCGUGGGGAGCGAACAGG